rnacentral:rRNA from 1 species
CUUUGGUGGCGACCGGCGCACGGGUGCGUAACGCGUAUGUAACCUACCUAUAACAGGGGCAUAACACUGAGAAAUUGGUACUAAUUCCCCAUAAUAUUCGGAGAGGCAUCUCUCCGGGUUGAAAACUCCGGUGGUUAUAGAUGGACAUGCGUUGUAUUAGCUAGUUGGUGAGGUAACGGCUCACCAAGGCAACGAUACAUAGGGGGACUGAGAGGUUAACCCCCCACACUGGUACUGAGACACGGUCCAAACUCCUACGGGAGGCAGCAUG